UAGACUAUAUACUCCAGGUUUCCUUGCAGCUAAGUGUGACCUUGGGAACGAAUUCUUGCCUACAGAAUGUGGGUAGAAUUGACACAGAUCUGUUCAGUUCAGGACAGGCCUAAUCACACCUCCUCUCUUCCCCUCUCUCCCUUUCCCAGUUGGCUGGAUGGAAGCAAAGGACUCUGAACUGCGGAACUGAAGGAGCUGCAAGGUGGAAGGCGGCUGGGUCCCUGCCUCACAUCUUGAGAGACUAUCUGCUAAAUACCUUCAUUUAUCAGCCAGAGGAAAAAACUUCAAACCUCAAAAGCUACUAAGAUGUUGGGGAUUUAGCAGAUGCUCUGCACCCUCCCUGUUCCCUGGAGAAGAGAGGUUGGAAGGAUGAAAAUAUCUGGAGGCCAGAAAAGCAGUUGGAGUUAAGUCCAGGUGAAAGACGACAGAGGCUAUACGACAACGACGGCAGUGGCAAAGGAGAGAAGCGGAGGGUCCACGAGCUGCUUCUCUGGAACUGAAGGGGCUUACAUAAUAUACCUAAGGCUCGUGAAAGUCACAGUGUGGUCCAGCACCCAAGCUCUCACACUCUUCUUGCUGUGGCCGACCUGGCAGAAGGGAGUCUGCACCCCGCAUCUUGACAGAGUCUGCCCAGCAGCACCAACCUCUCCCCAACGUGGGAAGGGAGAUUAAGAGACAUCACCUCAACUUGAACCCAACCUAUAGUUUCCACUGGAUUCUUCUUAGACAUCCCUAUUGGUCAUUGAGCGUUUG